AUCAGUAUGAUGGUCUCUUCUCUUCUCCUAUUCUUUCUGAGUAUACUAGGAUCAAGUAAUGCUGUCUUGCAGUAUCAACUACAAAAUGAUACUCUCUCUACUUGCCUUGUACUGAGUGAUGGAUCCCUCUUGAUUGGUACAGCCAGUCACAUUAUAAAGUUAAACUCUGACAGUUUAACAGUAAACUCAUCUCUUCCAUUGAACACUACUACUAAUCAACUAUUGUUGCUCCUCAAUGAUACUGGACUCAGUCAGAAUGUUCUCUCUUGUCAGGAGCAGGAGUGUUUUCUUCUCAAUCCUAAUGACCUCACUAACACAGUCAGUGUUUCUGCAAGCCCUACUCCUUCAUCAUUCCUAUUCCCAACAACACCUGACAUGCCAGGGCUUUAUACUGAAGACAGAAAAUUUUUUGUUGGUAAAGAUGCUGCUUCACCUAUUGCUUCAUCAAUCAGUAAACUACAGUAUUCAUCCUCUGGCUCUCAGCUACAAAUUGUACUGGUUGGAAGUCAACAAGAACAUAAUAUUAAGCUUACUAGAAAAUUUUUAAAUAAUUUUCAGCAUAAUGAAUUUGUAUAUUAUGUAUUUGUCCUAGCUGAUUAUGGCUCCAAAGUACAAGUAGCAAGAAUAUGUAGCAACGAUACUGGAAUUGAGCAGCUUAGUAUGUCAACACUUAAAACAUACACUGAGGCAGAAUUACAGUGUAAUGAAAUGAUAAAUCCUGAUUCAAUUACAGCAGCUACCUUUGUACAGUAUAUCAAUGGAGAAUCAAUGAUUAUGGUAUCAAUGAAGAGUGGCAGUACUAAUAUCUUAUGUGCAUUCAAUGUAUCAGAAAUUAAUAGAAAAAUGAAUGAUAAGUUAUCCUCAUGUAAAAAUGGGCAGGGAACAUUGUCCUUAAAAAGAAAUAGUGGCAGUAGUUCAUGUCCGAGUAAUUUAGAUCAAGAUAUGAAAAGUGUAAGAAAAAUAAUCAAUACAACUUUAUAAUAAUGGAUCAUUGUACAUUUUAAUAGGCAAUUAUGGCAUGCAAUAGACUAGGACAAUUUAUUGUUCCAUUUGAAGUAGAUAGUCCUACAUUCGGAGUCAGAGUUGCUUUCACAUCUGAAGUAUCUGCACUUAAUAGUCUUGCAUAUGAAGACACUGUGUAUCUAUAUGCUGGGUCUCAUCAAACAAUUGAACAGUACUAUUUCACAGCUGACAAUUUGUUAGUUUCAAUUCGCAACAUCACUACAAAGACUAAUGAACAAGUGAAUAAGAUUAAAUUUUCCCCAGACGGUGAAUAUUUAUAUGCUCUCUCACCAACGCAUGUGAGUGAUCAUACAUUAACUGUCAGUUAACAUUAAUUAACAGGUUGUUAAAGUAAAAGCUUCAUUGGAUUGCUCAACUGCAACAAGUUGCUCUGAAUGUGUUGUCAGUUUUCUUUGUGGUUGGUGCCAGUUAGACUUUACAUGUACUGGGCAGAACUCAUCAUGUACUAAUGGUCAAUGGCUCAAUGUACAGAAUCAAGGUACAGAUACUACUAACACUUGUCCUUAUUUACAACCUAACUCUGAUACAUCUGAUGGAAAAUAUACUCAACCAGCUAAUGUUACUAAGAAUUUGACUAUAUCUACAAUCAAUACUGUGGUAAGUUACAAUUACAUACUAAUGAUAAUAAUAAUAAUUCUCCCAAUAUUAUUGUAACAAUACUCACUAUUCAAUAUCACAGUUUUUUCCUGGUCUCAGUUAUGAGUGUGUAUAUGGUGCUGUUACUCGAACUGCUACUGUUAACAAUGACAAUAUGGUGACAUGUAAUAAUGAUCCUCUGGUGAGUAACGUACGGUAAAGU
rnacentral:misc_RNA from 1 species